GACGAACGCUGGCGGCGUGCUUAACACAUGCAAGUCGAACGGAAAGGCCCUGCUUUUGUGGGGUGCUCGAGUGGCGAACAGGUGAGUAACACGUGAGUAACCUGCCCUUGACUUUGGGAUAACUUCAGGAAACUGGGGCUAAUACCGGAUAGGAGCUCCUGCUGCAUGGUGGGGGUUGGAAAGUUUCGGCGGUUGGGGAUGGACUCGCGGCUUAUCAGCUUGUUGGUGGGGUAGUGGCUUACCAAGGCUUGACGGGUAGCCGGCCUGAGAGGGUGACCGGCCACAUUGGGACUGAGAUACGGCCCAGACUCCUACGGGAGGCAGCAGUGGGGAAUAUUGCACAAUGGGCGGAAGCCUGAUGCAGCAACGCCGCGUGCGGGAUGACGGCCUUCGGGUUGUAAACCGCUUUCGCCUGUGACGAAGCGUGAGUGACGGUAAUGGGUAAAGAAGCACCGGCUAACUACGUG
rnacentral:rRNA from 1 species